UUCACAUCCGGCUCUCUCACAAGUGUGAAAAUCAAUCAGUGGACCAAUAAUAACAAUAAGUGAUAAAUAUAUGAUCACAUAUAAUUAGCAUCAUAUUUAAGAAAAAAGAAAAAAAAUAUGAAGGCAAUUUUCUUCUUCUUCCUUCUCUUCCCAUUCCCCCUCAAAACUCAUAUAUGUACAAUAUACAUACAUAAGUAUCAUAUGUUAUGUAUACAGUAUGUUAUCAAAUUUGCUUCAAGCUUUUGAUAUUAAAAAAAUAAAAAUCUGCAAAAACUUUUGAAAUAAAUAAAUAAAUGUUUGAAAAGUG
rnacentral:lncRNA from 1 species